rnacentral:rRNA from 1 species
GUGCCAGCCGCCGCGGUAAGACGGAGGAGGCAAGCGUUAUCCGGAAUUAUUGGGCGUAAAGCGUCCGCAGGUGGCUCGCUCAAGUCUGCUGUCAAAGACCGGGGCUUAACUCCGGAAAGGCAGUGGAAACUGACAAGCUAGAGGGCUCUAGGGGUAGAGGGAAUUCCCGGUGUAGCGGUGAAAUGCGUAGAGAUUGGGAAGAACACCGGUGGCGAAAGCGCUCUGCUAGGCCGAAACUGACACUGAGGGACGAAAGCUAGGGGAGCGAAAGGGAUUAGAUACCCCUGUAGUCCUAGCUGUAAACGAUGGAGACUAGGUGUGGCCUGUAUCGACCCGGGCCGUGCCGGAGCUAACGCGCUAAGUCUCCCGCCUGGGGAGUACGCACGCAAGUGUGAAACUUAAAGGAAUUGACGGGG